AGUGAACGCUGGCGGUAGGCCUAACACAUGCCAGUCGAACGGCAGCACAGUAGAGCUUGCUCUUACGGGUGGCGAGUGGCGGACGGGUGAGGAAUACAUCGGAAUCUACUUUUUCGUGGGGGAUAACGUAGGGAAACUUACGCUAAUACCGCAUACGACCUACGGGUGAAAGCAGGGGAUCUUCGGACCUUGCGCGAUUGAAUGAGCCGAUGUCGGAUUAGCUAGUUGGCGGGGUAAAGGCCCACCAAGGCGACGAUCCGUAGCUGGUCUGAGAGGAUGAUCAGCCACACUGGAACUGAGACACGGUCCAGACUCCUACGGGAGGCAGCAGUGGGGAAUAUUGGACAAUGGGCGCAAGCCUGAUCCAGCCAUACCGCGUGGGUGAAGAAGGCCUUCGGGUUGUAAAGCCCUUUUGUUGGGAAAGAAAAGCAGCAGGUUAAUACCCCGCUGUUCUGACGGUACCCAAAGAAUAAGCACCGGCUAACCUCGUG
rnacentral:rRNA from 1 species